rnacentral:rRNA from 1 species
AGAGUUUGAUCCUGGCUCAGAGCGAACGCUGGCGGCAGGCCUAACACAUGCAAGUCGAACGGAUCCUUCGGGAUUAGUGGCGGACGGGUGAGUAACACGUGGGAACGUACCUUUCGGUUCGGAAUAAUACAGGGAAACUUGUACUAAUACCGGAUACGCCCUUCGGGGGAAAGAUUUAUCGCCGAUUGAUCGGCCCGCGUCUGAUUAGCUAGUUGGUGAGGUAAUGGCUCACCAAGGCGACGAUCAGUAGCUGGUCUGAGAGGACGAUCAGCCACACUGGAACUGAGAGACGGUCCAGACUCCUACGGGAGGCAGCAGUGAGGAAUUUUCUGCAAUGGGCGAAAGCCUGACAGAGCAAUACCGCGUGAGGGAUGAAAGCCUAUGGGUUGUAAACCUCUUUUCUCAAGGAGGAAGAUAUGACGUUACUUGAGGAAUAAGCAUCGGCUAACCCUGUGCCAGCAGCCGCGGUAAUACAGGGGAUGCAAGUGUUAUCCGGAUUUAUUGGGCGUAAAGCGUCUGCAGGUUGAUAUUUAAGUCUUUUGUUAAACCUUCGGGCUUAACCUGAAUUCUGCAAAAGAAACUAUUUAUCUUGAGUAUGGUAGAGGUAAAGGGAAUUUCCAGUGGAGCGGUGAAAUGCGUAGAGAUUGGAAAGAACACCAACAGCGAAGGCACUUUACUGGGCCAUUACUGACACUGAGAGACGAAAGCUAGGGGAGCAAACGGGAUUAGAUACCCCGGUAGUCCUAGCUGUAAACGAUGGAUACUAGAUGUUGUGCAUUUUUUGAGUGUGCAGUGUCGUAGCUAACGCGUUAAGUAUCCCGCCUGGGAAGUAUGCUCGCAAGAGUG